UGUGAGAAAGAGCCUAUUAUGGGACUUGGCCUUCAGCGGGGUGAUUUGGAGGAGGGUCUAAGGAGCCUCAAUAGGUUGAUGUGAGCAUCAAAUCUGAGUCUCUACACAAACCCAGUGCCUGGCCCGUAGCAAGUACAUGGCCAGCUUGAUGUCCUCUCUGUCCCUCCCUUGCUCUUCACAGACUUGGACUUGGAGGUGAGCUAAGACCUGCUCCUGACCCAUCUGGCUGGACAGGAGCUGUGAGUCUCAGCGCGGAGUUGUCAGGGAAUGACCCUGCCCACCUGUGGUCUCUGCCCUUGAGGGACCCUGUGGACUUCAAAUUAGGUUGAGGUCCCCAGGGUCAGCUUAGGGCCAGCCUAGGGCCAUUUCUGGGACGUGGCCCAGAACACCCACAUGUGCUAGAUGUGCCACUGGGGACUCCGUGUGACCUCGGGGCACAGGUCUUCUGGCUUCAUAGGUCCCUGUCACCCAAUCCUGGCCACCCCUGGGGGCCCAUGGAGGAUGGAGGGAUGGCUCUGUCCCCUAUGGAAAUGAUGCCAGGAUCAAGCAAGAGUGGGAAGAGAGAAAUUCUCAUGUGAAUUAUGAAGAGCACGAGGGGACUUUCACCCCAGUCAUUUGUGAAUAUUUCUUGAGCUUUUCGUAUACACACACACACACACACACACACACACACACACACACACAUAUAUAUAUGUAUUCUCUUUUGUAUAUAUGGCAAUAUUUUUCACUUGAAGCUUUACUGACGUCACUGAAGAAUCACGUGUGGUUGUGAGACAUAAUAUGGGGAGAUCCUGGAUAGAAGGUGCAGGUGGAGGGGCCAGCGGUGCGAAGGUGGUGUGCGAACUUGCCCCGUAUGUGUCAAGAGCACAGAGCACGUGUUUCCUUCUGACGUUCUCCGCUGACCCUAGCUGCAGAGCCUACAGCAAAGAAUUCAUGAAGUAACCAAACACCAGCUGCCAAUCUGCCCCCUCCCCGCUCCCGGACUGAAAUAAAGACUUUAUUCAUUGAG